rnacentral:antisense_RNA from 1 species
CUUGACCGACCCCAACCACAGCGGACGAUCCGCAGGCCGAUCCUGCCCGUAGGUGGCCAACAGGGCCUGGGCCUC